UACGUAGGGUGCAAGCGCUAAUCGGAAUUACUGGGCGUAAAGCGUGCGCAGGCGGUUCUAUAAGACAGAUGUGAAAUCCCCGGGCUCAACCUGGGAACUGCAUUUGUGACUGUAGAGCUGGAGUACGGUAGAGGGGGAUGGAAUUCCGCGUGUAGCAGUGAAAUGCGUAGAUAUGCGGAGGAACACCGAUGGCGAAGGCAAUCCCCUGGACCUGUACUGACGCUCAUGCACGAAAGCGUGGGGAGCAAACAGG
rnacentral:rRNA from 1 species